CCCAAACAAAAUCCUCUCCACUCUCAAGCUACUGUCUUUCUUCUUCUCUCUCACGCUGCACAUCUUCAAAAUCCUCUCCGGUCUCACACUGCAAAUAUUUGAUAUCAAUCAAGGGUAAGGUUGGAGAGUUAUUAAUGUUGCUUUGUAUCUAACUUGAUCUCCAACUGUUCCUGUUUUCCAGGAUGGUGCUGCCAAGACAAUUGCCUUUCAGCUUUAGUGCCAGACAUGGAAACUUGAGAGAGCAUUGAAAAACUUUUUGUAUGAUCAAUUAGAUAUCUCGGAGGAAGUUCAAGAACAGGUAAGACCUAUCCCCAAAAAACUCAGAGGAGAAUAGAAAGCCCAGUUAUCCUGUAAUUCCUGAUGAUUUUUUAUUUCCUAUUCCCCUUGAAGCGCUGAGGGACCUUGUUAUAGUGGCCACAUGACAGACAUAUGAGAGAUCCUACAUCCAGAGAUGGAUAGAUUGCGGCAACACAAACUGUCCAAAAACUCAACAGAAACUUCAACAUCUCACUCUAACCUUAAACUACGUAUAAAGAAAUCUCAUUACUCAGUGAUGUGUAACACACAAUGUUGAGCAGCCAACAGCACUAACAGUGAGGGAAAUUGGGCAUGGCUUAUGACACAACUAGAAAGCAAGACCUUCCCCAAAAAAAAUUGCACAAAAAAACGAGAUCACAGGGAUUUUGCACUACGGACUAUGCGUGAUUUGUGGAGGAUAUACAAAAUUCGCGUGAAGAAAGAUUAUUAUCUCAAAUAUGAUAAUGAUGAGGAAGGGCUGAAAAACAAUCCUUUUAGUAGUGUUGCAUGCGUGCUUCCGAUGAUGAACUUGACGACAAAGAAUAUGGAAACGUAGCUGCUAAACAUGGUGAUGAAUGAAGAUUUUUAGUCACAUUUAAGUUUAAAUAUAAUCUUCAACUCUCCGCUUGCUUUUGGAUUAACUUUUAUGAGGAUGGUUCCAAACUUGGUACCUUAGACUAGUUUCUUUUGUAUCUUUCAAGUUGAUGACUCGGAUUGUACUUAAAUUCUACUUAAUUUGGUCAUUUUUCAAGUUAAGAA